rnacentral:rRNA from 1 species
GACGAACGCUGGCGGCGUGCUUAACACAUGCAAGUCGAACGGAAAGGCCCUGCUUUUGUGGGGUGCUCGAGUGGCGAACACGUGUGUAACACAUGAGUAACCUCCCCUUUACUUUGUGAUAACUUCAGGAAACUGGGGCUAAUACCGGAUAUGAGAUCCUGCUGCGUGUGGGGGGUUGGAGAGUUUCGGCGGUUGGGGAUGGACUCGCGGCUUAUCAGCUUGUUGGUGGGGUAGUGGCUUACCAAGGCUUUGACGGGUAGCCGGCCUGAGAGGGUGACCGGCCACAUUGGGACUGAGAUACGGCCCAGACUCCUACGGGAGGCAGCAGUGGGGAAUAUUGCACAAUGGGCGGAAGCCUGAUGCAGCAACGCCGCGUGCGGGAUGACGGCCUUCGGGUUGUAAACCGCUUUCGCCUGUGACGAAGCGUGAGUGACGGUAAUGGGUAAAGAAGCACCGGCUAACUACGUG